ensembl:lncRNA
UCUGACAAGGGUACCCCUAAGGUGAGAGAGGUAUUGUGGUUGUGUGGUAGUAUAUGGUACAGUCAUCUUCUUCCACACUGGGGUGGCGUAAGCGCCCCCGCCCAGGUCAUGGACCAUUUUUGUGUUGUUAGUGCUAUCUCGCAGGCAGAGUAUCUCGUAAGAAGAGAUUUGCUGUUGAGAAGCAUGACAGCGUGUGGGGGACUGAUGUGCUGAUGACUAAAAGAUUUGGACCACCAGCUCCAAGGUUAUUUUGUUUCUGUUUCAGGCCCUAGGAGUAGGAAAAGUCAUGUUAAGAAUGGCAACCCUUAACUAUAGGUUAGAAUUGUUUGUUAAUGCCACCUUAGUCAGCAUGGAUGGCCUUAAUGAUGAGGUCUCGCAGAUUCGGCUGAUGGUGCUGAAAAAUAGAUUAGUGUUAGACUCACUGCUGCUAGUGGGGGAGUUUUGUGACUGAUAUCUGUUGUAUUUGGAUAUUGGAUUAUAUUCAUAGUGUCUCUGUGACUGAAGCCUUACAGCAAAUGAAGGUUGUUAUGUGAUGCUUUAUUACAAGACAAAGUGGUUAAUGUUCCGUGGUGAAAUCUGGUUGCUUGGUUUACAUCUGGUGCAUGGUGGUAAAUGAUGUUGGAAAGUCUGUUCUCUAUUGUAGCAAUUUGUAUACUUUUUGUAUUUUAUGAUGUGUAUUUCUACAUGUUUCUAAGUUCUCAUGUCUAGUCUUGUAUGUACUUCUGUAUGGAGUGUACUGUUGUCUGGAACCAUCAAGAUGAUGAUGCUUUAGUUUAAUGAUUUUUAUACUAGUGUUAUUUUCAUGAUAAACAGGAGGGAAAUGUUAAAGAAAGUAUUAGUAUAUUUUAUCAUGAAUGUCUUUUUGUUUUAAGGUUUCUUCCAAAAUGCUGUGUGCCCUGCUUCUCCAUGUAGAUUGGACUUUGGAAGACAAUUAGCAGAGUCAAGAAUGUUAACCCAGAAACCUAACGUAUAUGUUUACAUAAGAUAAGAAGGAGAGAGCGGGUUGUGAAAUGUCUCGUUGCUAAGC